GCCAGCAGCCAUAUCACCCUGCAGCUCCCAGCUGGCAGCCCCCUGGAGCUCAGCAGGUGUGAGCCUGGUCAGUACCUGGAUGGGAGACUCCUGGGAAAGCUGAGGCUGCUGCUAGAA
ensembl:rRNA 5S_rRNA 5S ribosomal RNA